rnacentral:lncRNA from 1 species
GAGAUUGCAAAGGAAACCUCAUUUCUUCUAUUCGCCAUCCCAUCAGGAAAAAGGAGUGAGAAACAAAGCCGUCAUCUCCAGUUCCGCGUCCAGGCCAGGGAAGGCAUCGCAGCUGGUUGUGAACUGCAGUGUGGGCGCUGAGAACUGAGCCUGAGUCCUCUGAAGAGUAGCCAGUGCCCAUAACCACUGAGCUACCUGCCCAGCCCUGAAGAUAAAUAUGCACUUUCUAGGUGACGAUGGACAUACAGAGGACCCAAUCCUUGCUUCUGCUCUUGUUGCUGACCCUGCUGGGGUUAGGGCUUGUACAGCCCUCCUAUGGCCAAGAUAGAAUGUACCAACGGUUCCUUAGACAGCAUGUGGACCCUGAGGGGACAGGCGGCAGCGACAACUACUGCAACGUGAUGAUGCAGAGACGGAGGAUGACUUCUACCCAGUGCAAACGCUUCAACACCUUCAUCCACGAAGACAUCUGGAACAUUCGCAGCAUCUGUGAUACUGCCAAUAUCCCAUGCAAGAAUGGCAAUAUGAACUGUCACGAAGGCAUAGUGAGGGUCACUGACUGCAGAGAGACAGGGAGCUCUGUGCCCCACAACUGUAGGUACAGGGCGAGAGCCAGCACUAGGCGAGUUGUCAUUGCCUGUGAGGGUACCCCAGAGGUCCCAGUGCACUUUGACAGAUAGAUGAC